rnacentral:rRNA from 1 species
UACGUAGGGGGCUAGCGUUGUCCGGAAUCAUUGGGCGUAAAGCGCGUGUAGGCGGCCCGGUAAGUCCGCUGUGAAAGUCGGGGGCUCAACCUCGAGACGUCGACGGAAACCGUCUGGCUAGAGUCCGGAAGAGGAGUGUGGAAUUCCUGGUGUAGCGGUGAAAUGCGCAGAUAUCAGGAAGAACACCAAUGGCGAAGGCAGCUCUCUGGGACGGUACUGACGCUGAGACGCGAAAGCGUGGGGAGCGAACAGG